GAAAGAAGCAGGCAGGCAGAGAGUACCCAGCACCAGAGCUCUCUGCAGACUCUGCCCAGCUGAGCCUUAGUAAUGGAGUCACCCAGAAGCAGUAUCAGUGUCUUCCUUAGGUGCUGGCAACGGCUCAGCCCCCAGUCCCAGUGCCACAGCAUCACAGCAGGGGCUUGGGCUCUGCUGAAGAGACGGCUGCAUCAUCGCCAACCCCUGCAGGCCAAUGCUCCUGGCUCAGCCUUGAUGCAGCAGAUGAUCCAGCCACUGAGAGGCCUCAGAUACGGAGUGGGGAGCAGGCGUGCUGAAGGGGCAAGGUGGUGCAGCUGUGGCUGCUGAAGCAUCAUCACUACUACCUCCUCCUCCAGCAGCGGGUGGGUGAGGGACCCCAGACUUCCCCUUCUUUACAGCCACCAUCGCCAUGAUGGACUGGAAGAUGCAGCCGGCUGCCACUGAGCCCUGAGGAUGUGGAGCGAGUCCUGAGAAGAAGAAACAGCAGCCACCACAGAAUUUUAAUUGAUGUGCCUUUUGCUUAAUGGCACACGUGUAUCCUUUGAGCCUACUUUUGUUCCAGUUUGUUACUCCAACAGGAUUCCACAUAUCAAUGCCCCAGAAAGGCAGUUGUGGUAAGAUGUUGCUAAUCUGCAAAUGUAUGUUUAAAUAUAUAUAUAUAUUCAGAUGAAUAAUCAACUAAAAUCUUCCGCAGUCCACAGCCCUGCUUCUAACAAUGUUACUUCACAUGUGUAAACAGUUUCCAUUGUUUAUUUGUAUUGAUUUUUCUAUCUGUUAACACACCCCAAAACAAAAAACCUGAAGUGCUACAGCUGUUCUUUUUCUGCUAUUUCUUCACCUUGCCACAAUUAUAGCAAUAGCACUAGCAAUAGCACUUACAUUUAUAUACCGCUUUAUAGCCGGAGCUCUCUAAGCGGCUUACAAUGAUUUAGCAUAUUGCCCCCAACAUUCUGGGUACUCAUUUUACCGACCUCGGAAGGAUGGAAGGCUGAGUCAACCUUGAGCCCCUGGUCAGGAUUGAACUUGUAACCUUCUGGCUACAGGGCGGCAGUUUUACCACUGCGCCACCAGGGGCUCUUAUGCUUCUGUAUCUCAGGAAAGGUGAUGGUGAACUUGAUUAUGAUCCAAUGAGUGUCUACUAACAGAUCAAUGCCUGCUGAUGUGAGAACAUAAGGUCCAGCUCAAACCUCAAGCUAUCCCAUUAAGAGUUUGCAUCAUCCAGCACAAAUCUGGAGGCUGGCUGGUAAUCCAUCUGGCCAAGUCUCUGGAGCAGAUGAAUAUUGUUAUCGGCAGGAUAGUUCAGCCGUGAAUAGUGUGGGACAGGCAUGGACAACUGGCAACCUGCAGGCUGGAUCUGGUCCUGAUGAAAUUUUAUUUGGGCCAUUGUCAGCCCCCACUAAGUUUUAAUCAAGAUGCGGUGGAAACUCACAGCUUAUUUUCUGUUGCUUAUGAAAACUGUGUUCUAAAGUUGUAGGAGACAGAGAUAGUUCAGACAUUGUUAUAUCUCUGAGUAUAAACUGUGAUGUCUAUGUGCUUACAAAUGUGGAGCUUUUAUUGCUA